AGCACCAGCCGGUUCCUUCCGCAGCUCCGCGCUCGGGGGCUGACGGGCGCAGUUCUUUGCAGUUGGUGGCCUGUAGAUGCCCGGGGUGCUGCAUCACGAUGCCUGGCUUCUCUUGUGACCAGACAGUUUGUCAGGGUCGGAGCAGCUGCCUGGGGCCUUGGACCAGAAUGCAGCUCAGGAUCCCGGUGCCUUCUUGACUCCGCAACACUGUGGUGCCCUCACGAAGCUUCCGUUUUCCAGGAAACAGCAGGGAGGAAAAGAGAGAACAACAGUGCCUGGGGACCACUCCUUGUCAAGGCGAAGCCCAGCCUAGGGUGGAUAUCGUUCCAGCAUCUCCCCAGUUCUUCUUCGCCCUCGCGGACUACUUU
rnacentral:lncRNA from 1 species